CGGGGCGUGGCGCAGUUGGCUAGCGUACUUGGCUGGGGGCCAAGUGGUCGUCCGUUCGAGUCGGACCGCUCCGACAA
rnacentral:tRNA from 1 species